CACGUAGGGGCCAAGCGUUGUCCGGAGUUACUGGGCGUAAAGCGCGCGCAGGCGGUCGCGUGGGCCCGGCGUGAAAGCCCCCGGCUCAACCGGGGAGGGUCGUCGGGGACCGCGCGACUUGAGGGCGGUAGGGGCCGGUGGAACUCCCGGUGUAGUGGUGAAAUGCGUAGAGAUCGGGAAGAACACCCGUGGCGAAGGCGGCCGGCUGGGCCGACCCUGACGCUGAGGCGCGAAGGCGUGGGGAGCGAACGGG
rnacentral:rRNA from 1 species